CAGCAGUAGCCGCGGUAAUACGUAGGUGGCAAGCGUUGUCCGGAAUUAUUGGGCGUAAAGGGCUCGCAGGCGGUUUCUUAAGUCUGAUGUGAAAGCCCCCGGCUCAACCGGGGAGGGUCAUUGGAAACUGGGAAACUUGAGUGCAGAAGAGGAGAGUGGAAUUCCACGCGUAGCGGUGAAAUGCGUAGAGAUGUGGAGGAACACCAGUGGCGAAGGCGACUCUCUGGUCUGCAACUGACGCUGAGGAGCGAAAGCGUGGGGAGCGAACAGGAUUAGAUACCCCCGUAGUCCCUGUCUCUUAUAC
rnacentral:rRNA from 1 species